rnacentral:ncRNA from 1 species
CUGAUUACGACGCAUGGGCCGACGUUCGUGCAACGAGCCCUCUCCACCUGCUAACGCAGGUGGAUGCGCCAUUAUCAG